UCCAUCUCCAUGAGAAGAGCAUUACUGAGCACUGGGGCAAGAGGAUUCCCAUGGGUGAGACUGCCAUGGCACAGGUUAGGGACAGGAUGAAACCCCAGGAGCAGGGUUUGUGAGGUUCAGCCAUUCUCUUGGUGCAGUAAGCCAUGCAUGUGAGCAGGACCCCAGUUUCAUCUCCCCUUAAAACUGUAACCACACAGGCUGGGCUGAGAUCUACUGUUGAUACAGAAAGCAGGGUUCACGUAAGGGAUCAGGAUAAAGAAAUUACAGAGAACAAUGUGAAAACAAAGCAAACAGAACUCCUGCUCAUCUUGGGCUCUAUCCACCCUCCCUGCAGGCAUAUAGCGUUGCCAUGGGAAGUCUUCUGGUGAUAAAGCACCCAAUCGUCCCUGAGGGCAUCAUUACCAUUUCCCUCUUGCUGGAGUGCAAAACCAGGCCAGGAUGGGACACACAGCCCAAGAGGCCCUGUAUUCAUGGAAAAGAAGUGCUCUUACUGUUCCACAUUUAUUAAGAGGUUUUGAAAGGGCAGGAGGUCUCCCUGGAGCAGGAUUGAGUCUCAGAAAGAUAAAAGCCUGCUGCUGACCCUCUGCAACAGUGCCUCUGGCAGGACCUUACUGCAUCUCUUGUCUGCAUUGGCCUGCAUGUUUGAGAAAGCCAAGUACUCCCAGGAGAGCUGCCAGAACUGCAGCCCAGCAUGUUUGCUGGGGGGAAUGGUGCUUAGCAAGGGUACAGGUGCUGAGCCACAUGGGAAGCUCUGAAUCAUUUCAGGCUCCUGAGAUGAAAUACAGCCCCUCUCAGGCUGUGCACCAGUGAGUGUGGGCAGGCCCCUGCAUGAAGCAGGUCUGAUUUGAAUGUAAAUGACAGGGUUUUGCUGCAG